rnacentral:rRNA from 1 species
AUUGAACGCUGGCGGCAGGCUUAACACAUGCAAGUCGAGCGGUAGCACAGGGGAGCUUGCUCCCUGGGUGACGAGCGGCGGACGGGUGAGUAAUGUCUGGGAAACUGCCUGAUGGAGGGGGAUAACUACUGGAAACGGUAGCUAAUACCGCAUAACGUCGCAAGACCAAAGAGGGGGACCUUCGGGCCUCUUGCCAUCAGAUGUGCCCAGAUGGGAUUAGCUAGUAGGUGGGGUAAUGGCUCACCUAGGCGACGAUCCCUAGCUGGUCUGAGAGGAUGACCAGCCACACUGGAACUGAGACACGGUCCUGACUCCUACGGGAGGCAGCAGUGGGGAAUAUUGCACAAUGGGCGCAAGCCUGAUGCAGCCAUGCCGCGUGUGUGAAGAAGGCCUUCGGGUUGUAAAGCACUUUCAGCGAGGAGGAAGGUGGUGAGCUUAAUACGUUCAUCAAUUGACGUUACUCGCAGAAGAAGCACCGGCUAACUCCGUG